AACGAACGCUGGCGGCAGGCUUAACACAUGCAAGUCGAACGAUGUAGCAAUACAUAGUGGCGCACGGGUGAGUAACGCGUGGGAAUAUGCCCUUUAGUUUGGAAUAACCACUGGAAACGGUGGCUAAUACCAAAUACGCCCCCUAUUUGUGGUGAAUGGGGGGGUAAGAUUUAUCGCUAAAGGAUUAGCCCGCGUGAGAUUAGGUAGUUGGUGGGGUAAUGGCCUACCAAGCCUACGAUCUCUAGCUGGUCGGAGAGGAUGAUCAGCCACACUGGAACUGAGACACGGCAACGACUCCUACGGGAGGCAGCAGUGGGGAAUAUUGGACAAUGGGCGAAAGCCUGAUCCAGCCAUGCCACGAAAAUGAGAAAGGCCUUAGGGUUGUAAAGAGAGGGGGUCAGGGAAGAUAAUGACGGUACCUGAAGAAUAAGCACCGGCUAACUUCGUGCCAGCAGCCGCGGUAA
rnacentral:rRNA from 1 species